rnacentral:rRNA from 1 species
AUUGAACGCUGGCGGCAAGCCUAACACAUGCAAGUCGAACGAGUGGCGGACGGGUGAGUAAUGUCUGGGAAACUGCCUGAUGGAGGGGGAUAACUACUGGAAACGGUAGCUAAUACCGCAUACCAUCGGAUGUGCCCAGAUAGGAUUAGCUAGUAGGUGGGGUAAAGGCUCACCUAGGCGACUAUCCCUAGCUGGUCUGAGAGGAUGACCAGCCACACUGGAACGGCGACACGGGCGAGGCUCAGACGGGAGGAAGCAGUGGGGAUUAUUGCAGAAUGGGCGCAAGCCUAAGGCAGCCAUGCCGCGUGUAUGCAGAAGGCCUUCGGGUUGUAAAGUACGUUCAGCGGGGAGGCGUUACCCGCAGAAGAAGCACCGGCUAACUCCGUGCCAGCAGCCGCGGUAAUAC